GUGGGGAGCGCGCCAGACGCAGGCGCGCUGUGAUCAGGGGCGGGACUGCGGGCUGCGGAGUCCGGGACCGAAAUCCAGGGUUUUAACUGUGGCGCCCGCGCGCGGCCGGCCCCUUAGGAGACCAAGCCUCGACCCGGUCUUCCUUCCCUGGAGGUGAAGCCGCGGAACCGUUCGCGCCCGACCGCGCUCGGGAGCAGCGAGCUGGGCGAGGCCGGCGGGGUUGCGCUGCGCGGUGAUCCUUAGGGCCGAGCUUGGAGACGGGGACGGACUCGACAGGCUGGGACCGCCCGCGCCAACCGAGCCCAGAGCUCGCCCGGCCCGCGGACCCCGAGACUCCGCCGCGGACCGAGCUGCCCGCGCCGGAGCGCAGUUCUCCGAGCCGCCUGGAAAUGCAAAGUGCACCAGUAUUCAGCCUCGUUUUGAAACAUCAAUAAAAUGUUAGUCAUUUGCGGA